UCCAUGUUUUAGCUCCCUGACCCUCAAAUCCCUGAAGAAAUGUUCUAGCCAUACAUACAGUAGGUCUUAAAAAAAAGUUUUUUUUUCAAACGGAGGGAUCUCCAUUUGACAGGUAAAGGAAAUGAAGCACAGAGAUUCUAAGGGAAAAAGAAGACAGAAGUAUGUAGUGAAUUCAGUUAGAUGAGCUCCCAUUUCUCUUGAUAACUUUUGUGGAUGCUAAUACCUAAGCUAAUAGCUUAUAAAAGAUUUAAUUGAACUACACUGAACAAAUGAACUACAAGUAAAUGUAUGUGAUACCAGUCCACACCAAUUAUAAAGUUAAAAUAUAGCACUUGUAUUUUCCGACAGUAUUUCCUUCAGCUCUUUUUGUAAAGUUGCCAAAUAACCCAAAUCAAUUUAGUAAUUGCUAUUUUCAUUAUUCACAGAACUAUUUGGGGUCAAUGUACUUUUAGUCUAUACUAAAAAAAUGCAUUAAAAGGAUAACAUGUAUUGGUUCUUCCUCAGGCUUAUCCAUGAACCCAAUAUUUUAGAGAAAUUAACUUUGUUUUUGAGUUGAAAAUUUAGAUUCAGUUUCCUUUGAAGCAUAUAUGGAUAUGACAUCCUGAGACUUCCCUUUCCAAGAGUUUGUAAUCAUUCUUUUAAUGGUUUUUAUUACAUUUUCAGAAGAGUCAUCAGUCCUUUUCUCCUGGAUGAUACUGCCUUGUUAAAGAGCCUGUAUAUGCUGGCUUAGCAAAUAUGCUGUCUUCAUUUUACUUGGCAUAUAUCUUAUUCUGAUGGCACAAGUCACUGACAAGCCAGUCCCCAACAGAACAAUGUGAUCAAACACUCAACAAAAAUACCACUUUCUUGAACAAUAAGGCACCAUCUGUUCUUAGAUCUCCUGGCAGAAUUUCUGAGAAAAGGGACUGAGUCAAGAAAGAGGAGCACCACAGCACAACAUGGCUUAAAAACAACACAACAGAGAACCUGGGUAACAAAUG
rnacentral:lncRNA from 1 species